AGCGAACGCUGGCGGCAGGCCUAACACAUGCAAGUCGAACGGAUCCUUCGGGAUUAGUGGCGGACGGGUGAGGAACACGUGGGAACGUGCCUUUUGGUUCGGAACAACUCAGGGAAACUUGAGCUAAUACCGGAUAAGCCCUUCGGGGGAAAGAUUUAUCGCCAUUAGAGCGGCCCGCGUCUGAUUAGCUAGUUGGUGAGGUAAAGGCUCACCAAGGCAACGAUCASUAGMUGGUCUGAKAGGAUGAUCAKCCACACUGGGASUGASACRCGGCCCAKACUCCUACGGGAGGCAGCAGUGGGGAAUCUUGCGCAAUGGGCGAAAGCCUGACGCAKYCAUGCCGCGUGAAUGAUGAAGGUCUUAGGAUUGUAAAAUUCUUUCACCGGGGACGAUAAUGACGGUACCCGGAGAAGAARCCCCGGCUAACUUCGUGCCAGCAGCCGCGGUAAUACGAAGGGGGCUAGCGUUGCUCGGAAUUACUGGGCGUAAAGGGAGCGUAGGCGGAUAGUUCAGUCAGAGGUGAAAGCCCGGGGCUCAWCCUUGGAAUUGCCUYUGAUWCUGGCUGUCUUGAGUAUGGGAGAGGUUAGCGGAACUCYGAGUGUAGAGGUGAAAUUYGUAGAUAUUCGGAAGAACACCAGUGGCGAAGGCGGCUAACUGGCCCAUUACUGACGCUGAGGCUSGAAAGCGUGGGGAGCAAACAGGAUUAGAUACCCUGGUAGUCCACGCCGUAAACGAUGAGUGCUAGUUGUCGGCAUGCAYGCAUGUCGSUGACGCAGYUAACGCAUUAAGCACUCCGCCUGGGGAGUACGGUCGCAAGAUUA
rnacentral:rRNA from 1 species